CCUACGGGAGGCAGCAGUAGGGAAUAUUGGUCAAUGGGCGGAAGCCUGACGCAGCAACGCCGCGUGAUUGAUGAAGCCCUUCGGGGUGUAAAGAUCUGUCAGUGGGGACGAAACUUGACGGUACCCACAGAGGAAGCAUCGGCUAACUCCGUGCCAGCAGCCGCGGUAAUACGGAGGAUGCGAGCGUUAUCCGGAAUCAUUGGGUUUAAAGGGUGCGUAGGCGGCCUGUUAAGUCUGGUGUUAAAUGCAGAGGCUCAACUUCUGUUCGGCACUGGAUACUGGCAAGCUUGAAUGCGGUAGAGGUAAAGGGAAUUCCUGGUGUAGCGGUGAAAUGCGUAGAUAUCAGGAGGAACAUCGGUGGCGAAAGCGCUUUACUGGGCCGUAAUUGACACUGAGGAACGAAAGCCAGGGUAGCAAAUGGGAUUAGAUACCCGUGUAGUC
rnacentral:rRNA from 1 species